UACGGGGGGGGCAAGCGUUGUUCGGAAUUACUGGGCGUAAAGGGCGCGUAGGCGGCCUGCUAAGUCGGACGUGAAAUCCCCCGGCUCAACCGGGGAACUGCGUCCGAUACUGGUGGGCUCGAAUCCGGGAGAGGGAUGUGGAAUUCCAGGUGUAGCGGUGAAAUGCGUAGAUAUCUGGAGGAACACCGGUGGCGAAGGCGGCAUCCUGGACCGGUAUUGACGCUGAGGCGCGAAAGCCAGGGGAGACAAAGCGGGU
rnacentral:rRNA from 1 species